UCCAGCAGAUAUGGGAGUGAGCCAGGCCCUGGGCCAGGCAGGUGCAAGCGCAUUCCAGGACUGGAGGUUGUGUGUGAACGUCUCACCGCACUUCGGAUGGACAGAUAGAGCCCCAGCACCAUGGAUUGGCCAUGGGACUUGCUGUGACCACUGGAGUGUGGCAGGGGACAGUGGGUGCAGUUCUGAGCAUAGGUCUCAGAAUGAGAGCCAAGCCGCACACCUGAGAGGCACCUGCAGCCUGAAGCACACCAACAUAGGUGUCAGAGACAAACAGCUUCUUCUAAACCACUGGGAUUGGUGGGGCCAUUUGUACACAGCAUUAUUAUAACAAUAGCUGAACAAUAGAGAAUUUGGUGCCAAAAGUAGGUGCUGACGUAAUAAAACCUA